rnacentral:lncRNA from 1 species
AACUACAAUCUCGAUGUUUUACAUCUCCUUGUCCUUGUGCAACGAGAGAUUCCACUUCUUCGAUUCUUGCAUACGUGUGAGCACGUUUAUGGUUGCUCUAUGUUGAAGUAAAAUUUCAUUCACCACAAAACACAACCCCCAAGAAUUUUGGUUUCCCCUGAAUCAAGAUUCGAGUAUGACGAAAAAGAAGGUUUUAAGGCUUAAGCAAAAAGUCAAGAGAUGACAAAUCCUUAGAGAACAUAGUUUAAGACAAUAUUAAAUAGAGUAGAUCAUCAAUCAUCAUCAAGCUGUGCACAUAAAUCUUCAUAAACACUUAAAAAUACUUUUUGGUUCAACAGUUUUGAGCAAAGGUUAUGUGGGAUGAUGGCUCAUAACACACUCCCUUCCUCGAGAUCCUCACGCCUCGUCCAUCUGCUCCUGAACAAAUAAUAUCAACAACUCAGCACACACACAGUUUCUCAGCUGUUUCAAAUUUUUAGACCUGAUGAAUCUGAUCAAGCACGGUUGAAAAACUCUAAGAGACUACGUUGAACUUAGAGUGUAAAAUGGAAGGUGCGGAGAGGAGUAUAACCUGCAUAUCGGAGGUCCAGAGGGUGAGAUUGUCCCUGAGCAACUGCAUGAUGAGAGUGCUGUCUUUGUAGGACUCUUCUCCCAGAGUGUCAAGCUCAGCUAUGGCUUCUUCAAAAGCCUACACGCAAAUCCACCACGAAAAUAAGAUACCAACAGAUAACAAGUAAACACACAUCUAUCAAACAAACAAAAAAACUCUUCCAAAGACAAACUCAGGACAGUAACUUAUAUUUGAUUUUUAUUACAGAACCUGUUUGGCCAUGUCACAAGCUUUGUCCGAAGAAUUAAGAAUCUCAUAGUAAAACACGGAGAAAUUCAACGCCAAACCAAGCCUAAUCGGAUGAGUAGGCGCCAUAUCAGCAGCUGCAAUAUCCUAAUCACCCAAAACAUUUCACAAAACAAAACCAAUCAGUCUUGUAAUAAAACCCCGAGAUUAAAACGAGUUGCUGCGGAAGUGGGGUGGCCACUGGAGGAGGAGUAGCGACCGGAGGAGGAGUAGCAACGGGAGGAGGAGGAGUAGCUGUGGGAGUGGGAGCUGGGGCUUGAGCAAGUGCAACUGUGGCGAAGAGAGCCAUUAUCAAGAAAACUUGGACACUUUUGGAACCCAUUUCUCUUUAGAAGAUGUUUCUUCUUGAUAGUGAGAGAGGUUAUGAGAUUAGAGAGAGAGAGAGCGAGAGUUCUGAAGUUGAGAAAAAUGGAAGAGGACUUAUAAAAGGAGAGAAUAUGAAGUAUUAAUUAAAGAAGAUUUCUAAUAUCUUUUAAUAUAGUAUAGUAAGUAAUAUAUGCAGACUAACAUGCAAACGCAUAAUUGGAACAUGGGGUUGCCUAUCUGUACUCUCCGAGGCCGAAGCAUUAAUAACCAAAAAAAAAAUACAAAUCGAGUCUAUGAUUGUAGUAUGUACCGAUAAUGACAAUUUGACAUAUUUUAGAAGGUAAAUCGAUUUACACAUAUGGAAGAUAAAUAUCAUAAAGAUUAGUCGGAUGAAGACUUAACAUCUUUGUUAUGUUGACUUUUCUUAGUAGACAAUCCACAGACCAUGAUGUAACGUUAAAUUAGACAAAGUUAACCUUGAUUAGUUAAUUAGAGCUGUGAUUGGAUGGUGAAUAAAUAUAAUUGGAGAGAGAAUCCAAUUUUGUAAUAAUAUGAUUUCAAAGAUCAUUAAUGUUAUAUGACGUGACAAAUGUGUGAACAGCUAACAUGUCUAGUUCAAGAAUCAAGAAUUGCAAAUUUGCAUGUCUUCCUGUCUACUUAAUCCACUUGUUAUUUUUUUUUUUGUCAAACAAUCCACUUGUUAUUUUAAUUUUUUUAUAUAUACAACAACGACCUUUUUAUGUAACUUUGGCAUAGUAUAAGUUAUCUUAUUAUACAGGAAAUAAAGAAAAAAAAAUGAAAAUCUGAAAUUUGAAACAAAUGUAAAAACUAAAAAGAUGUUAAGCUAAAACGGCGGUGUACAUAACAGCAGCGAAGACGGUUCCGGCGAUGAAAGCCUUGUUGGAGAAAGCGGCACUAGGAGCAGGCGCAUCCUCUGAAGGCCCUGGAGCAAGUCCGCUAGGGCUCGAGGCGGGACCUUCUGGUGCUGGUGGAGAGGCGCUAGGAGCAUCAGAUGGAGAAGGAGCAGCUGCUGGUGGAGUAGUGGCGGGGGCUGGAGUCGCGGCAGGUGGUGGAGUGGUGGUUGGAGCUGGAGUUGCGGCGGGGGGUGGGGUGGCCACUGGAGGAGGAGUAGCGACCGGAGGAGGAGUAGCAACGGGAGGAGGAGGAGUAGCUGUGGGAGUGGGAGCUGGGGCUUGAGCAAGUGCAACUGUGGCGAAGAGAGCCAUUAUCAAGAAAACUUGGACACUUUUGGAACCCAUUUCUCUUUAGAAGAUGUUUCUUCUUGAUAGUGAGAGAGGUUAUGAGAUUAGAGAGAGAGAGAGCGAGAGUUCUGAAGUUGAGAAAAAUGGAAGAGGACUUAUAAAAGGAGAGAAUAUGAAGUAUUAAUUAAAGAAGAUUUCUAAUAUCUUUUAAUAUAGUAUAGUAAGUAAUAUAUGCAGACUAACAUGCAAACGCAUAAUUGGAACAUGGGGUUGCCUAUCUGUACUCUCCGAGGCCGAAGCAUUAAUAACCAAAAAAAAAAUACAAAUCGAGUCUAUGAUUGUAGUAUGUACCGAUAAUGACAAUUUGACAUAUUUUAGAAGGUAAAUCGAUUUACACAUAUGGAAGAUAAAUAUCAUAAAGAUUAGUCGGAUGAAGACUUAACAUCUUUGUUAUGUUGACUUUUCUUAGUAGACAAUCCACAGACCAUGAUGUAACGUUAAAUUAGACAAAGUUAACCUUGAUUAGUUAAUUAGAGCUGUGAUUGGAUGGUGAAUAAAUAUAAUUGGAGAGAGAAUCCAAUAUUUGUAAUAAUAUGAUUUCAAAGAUCAUUAAUGUUAUAUGACGUGACAAAUGUGUGAACAGCUAACAUGUCUAGUUCAAGAAUCAAGAAUUGCAAAUUUGCAUGUCUUCCUGUCUACUUAAUCCACUUGUUAUUUUUUUUUUUGUCAAACAAUCCACUUGUUAUUUUAAUUUUUUUAUAUAUACAACAACGACCUUUUUAUGUAACUUUGGCAUAGUAUAAGUUAUCUUAUUAUACAGCAACUAAAUAUUAUAAACAGUAACGAUGAUUAAUCCCAUGUGGCUGACCUGAUAAUUUGAUUAAGUUUUGUGAAUAUUAUUGGUGUUGUUACCGUUGUUGGACAUUGCUAAUAAACCCGUUGGAAAUAGCUGUCAGUGAAUAUAAAAUAAUGUUGAUAGACAUAAGGUAUGAAUAGAAAGAAAUAACGUAUAAAAAGAUACGUCGUCUGGUAAUAGCCUGUAAAGCCUAUCUCGACAGUGAUUCAGAAGGUAAGAUGUCCAUUUUAAUGUUUUUUUUCGAUUGAAUGUAUAUUAGUGAAUCAUUCAUAGUUGGCAAUGUAUUGCCAGUUGUGAUGAACGAACCUAAACAUUCAUUAUUUUUGUCUAGUGACUAAUAGGGCCAACUACUGAUCCACUUGUCUCGACUCAUGCAAUCGAAAUGGGUUAAACUGAAAUUCCAUUACGAUGGAUUUCGACUGAUCAACGUCAAAAAGGAAGAUCAGAAGCUAAAAAUAAUAAUUAAAAUGGGCUCAGCUGUAUGCCCAGCCAUUACGAUGAUACAAAAAAUGGGCUUCGUAUCGUUCCACCAUGCAUACAAUGCAGCCUAGUGGUCCAACUACAAUCUCGAUGUUUUACAUCUCCUUGUCCUUGUGCAACGAGAGAUUCCACUUCUUCGAUUCUUGCAUACGUGUGAGCACGUUUAUGGUUGCUCUAUGUUGAAGUAAAAUUUCAUUCACCACAAAACACAACCCCCAAGAAUUUUGGUUUCCCCUGAAUCAAGAUUCGAGUAUGACGAAAAAGAAGGUUUUAAGGCUUAAGCAAAAAGUCAAGAGAUGACAAAUCCUUAGAGAACAUAGUUUAAGACAAUAUUAAAUAGAGUAGAUCAUCAAUCAUCAUCAAGCUGUGCACAUAAAUCUUCAUAAACACUUAAAAAUACUUUUUGGUUCAACAGUUUUGAGCAAAGGUUAUGUGGGAUGAUGGCUCAUAACACACUCCCUUCCUCGAGAUCCUCACGCCUCGUCCAUCUGCUCCUGAACAAAUAAUAUCAACAACUCAGCACACACACAGUUUCUCAGCUGUUUCAAAUUUUUAGACCUGAUGAAUCUGAUCAAGCACGGUUGAAAAACUCUAAGAGACUACGUUGAACUUAGAGUGUAAAAUGGAAGGUGCGGAGAGGAGUAUAACCUGCAUAUCGGAGGUCCAGAGGGUGAGAUUGUCCCUGAGCAACUGCAUGAUGAGAGUGCUGUCUUUGUAGGACUCUUCUCCCAGAGUGUCAAGCUCAGCUAUGGCUUCUUCAAAAGCCUACACGCAAAUCCACCACGAAAAUAAGAUACCAACAGAUAACAAGUAAACACACAUCUAUCAAACAAACAAAAAAACUCUUCCAAAGACAAACUCAGGACAGUAACUUAUAUUUGAUUUUUAUUACAGAACCUGUUUGGCCAUGUCACAAGCCUUGUCGGAAGAAUUAAGAAUCUCAUAGUAAAACACGGAGAAAUUCAACGCCAAACCAAGCCUAAUCGGAUGAGUAGGCGCCAUAUCAGCAGCUGCAAUAUCCUAAUCACCCAAAACAUUUCACAAAACAAAACCAAUCAGUCUUGUAAUAAAACCCCGAGAUUAAUUAAUUAAUUAAAAAAUAAAAUAAAUAAUAAUUUUUACUAAUAUAUAACCUGAGCAGCCUUGUAAGCAACCAUGGUAUCCUCAGCCGCGGCUUUCCUCUCCUCGCCGGCCUUAAACUCCGCCAUGUACCUAUGGUAAUCCCCUUUCAUCUUCAGAUAAAACACCUUCGACUCGCUCGCCGCCGCAGAGGGAAUCAGAUUCUCCUCGAGAAGCUUUAGUAUCCCUUCGCAGACGGAGGAGAGCUCCGUCUCCACCUUGGAUCUGUAGUCUUUCACGAGCGCCACGUGCUCCUCGUUCUUGCGGCUCUCCUCCUUCUGCUCGAUCGAGGACACGAUGCGCCACGCGGCGCGCAGGGAUCCGAUCACGUUCUUGUAUGCCACGGAGAGGAGGUUACGCUCUUCGACGGUGAGCUCGGAGGAUGGUGUGGCGCCUGUGACGAGCUUCUCCAUGAAGUUGACCAUCUCCUCGUAGCGCUCGGCCUGCUCGGCGAGCUUGGCCAUGUAGACGUACUGGUCUCUGCCUAGUGUUGCCGCCAUUGGAGAGAGAAAGUGAGAGAGAGAGAGAGAGAGAUUUUUUUUUUUUUUUCAUAAAGAUUAGUCGGAUGAAGACUUAACAUCUUUGUUAUGUUGACUUUUCUUAGUAGACAAUCCACAGACCAUGAUGUAACGUUAAAUUAGACAAAGUUAACCUUGAUUAGUUAAUUAGAGCUGUGAUUGGAUGGUGAAUAAAUAUAAUUGGAGAGAGAAUCCAAUUUUGUAAUAAUAUGAUUUCAAAGAUCAUUAAUGUUAUAUGACGUGACAAAUGUGUGAACAGCUAACAUGUCUAGUUCAAGAAUCAAGAAUUGCAAAUUUGCAUGUCUUCCUGUCUACUUAAUCCACUUGUUAUUUUUUUUUUUGUCAAACAAUCCACUUGUUAUUUUAAUUUUUUUAUAUAUACAACAACGACCUUUUUAUGUAACUUUGGCAUAGUAUAAGUUAUCUUAUUAUACAGCAACUAAAUAUUAUAAACAGUAACGAUGAUUAAUCCCAUGUGGCUGACCUGAUAAUUUGAUUAAGUUUUGUGAAUAUUAUUGGUGUUGUUACCGUUGUUGGACAUUGCUAAUAAACCCGUUGGAAAUAGCUGUCAGUGAAUAUAAAAUAAUGUUGAUAGACAUAAGGUAUGAAUAGAAAGAAAUAACGUAUAAAAAGAUACGUCGUCUGGUAAUAGCCUGUAAAGCCUAUCUCGACAGUGAUUCAGAAGGUAAGAUGUCCAUUUUAAUGUUUUUUUUCGAUUGAAUGUAUAUUAGUGAAUCAUUCAUAGUUGGCAAUGUAUUGCCAGUUGUGAUGAACGAACCUAAACAUUCAUUAUUUUUGUCUAGUGACUAAUAGGGCCAACUACUGAUCCACUUGUCUCGACUCAUGCAAUCGAAAUGGGUUAAACUGAAAUUCCAUUACGAUGGAUUUCGACUGAUCAACGUCAAAAAGGAAGAUCAGAAGCUAAAAAUAAUAAUUAAAAUGGGCUCAGCUGUAUGCCCAGCCAUUACGAUGAUACAAAAAAUGGGCUUCGUAUCGUUCCACCAUGCAUACAAUGCAGCCUAGUGGUCCAACUACAAUCUCGAUGUUUUACAUCUCCUUGUCCUUGUGCAACGAGAGAUUCCACUUCUUCGAUUCUUGCAUACGUGUGAGCACGUUUAUGGUUGCUCUAUGUUGAAGUAAAAUUUCAUUCACCACAAAACACAACCCCCAAGAAUUUUGGUUUCCCCUGAAUCAAGAUUCGAGUAUGACGAAAAAGAAGGUUUUAAGGCUUAAGCAAAAAGUCAAGAGAUGACAAAUCCUUAGAGAACAUAGUUUAAGACAAUAUUAAAUAGAGUAGAUCAUCAAUCAUCAUCAAGCUGUGCACAUAAAUCUUCAUAAACACUUAAAAAUACUUUUUGGUUCAACAGUUUUGAGCAAAGGUUAUGUGGGAUGAUGGCUCAUAACACACUCCCUUCCUCGAGAUCCUCACGCCUCGUCCAUCUGCUCCUGAACAAAUAAUAUCAACAACUCAGCACACACACAGUUUCUCAGCUGUUUCAAAUUUUUAGACCUGAUGAAUCUGAUCAAGCACGGUUGAAAAACUCUAAGAGACUACGUUGAACUUAGAGUGUAAAAUGGAAGGUGCGGAGAGGAGUAUAACCUGC